rnacentral:misc_RNA from 1 species
UCAGUUUCGUGGGCAAAUGGGUUUCGCUUACAUGAGUUUAACUGUGUUUCUUUGAUACAUGUUGAAGUUUCGUGUCAUAACGAGCUUAAUCAAUGUGAUUUAUUUGUGGAUUAAGCAGGUCCCCAAUUGGUACAGUUCUUCUCCAUGGAACAAGUGUGCUUGUGUUACGCUCUCCAACAUGGAGCAUUCAAUAAGGAGAGGUGCAGUGCUUCUCAAAUUUGAAAAGACCAACAUGAAUAUGCCAAAUAAAUUUUGGAGAGAGAGUGAGAAGUGAAUAAGGGAAGUCAGAUUGUCAGAGUAGCUGCGCUUGGGACGAUCAGCUUCGUGAUCUCCAAUGGCCAAUGUGGAAGGAUUGGAUGACUUAAAAGCUAAAACCAGUCCCCCACUUGGUCUGAGUGGCUGCGUUAAUAUUUUUCGGCAUUUUCUCUCUCCAUCUGCAUGCAAAUGGCUUGGCUCUUCUGCUGCAUUCCUCUGCUUUUCUAUAAAUAGUUAUGGGCUAACAGCCACUGGUCCUCCAUUUCCCACCGCCAAUUCCAUGCAAUUUGUCACUUUUCAUCCAUUCCCCGCAUGCCCUGAAGCCUCGUUGUCACGCCCCAACUAGAGAACCCAAUGCUUUGUUUCCACUCCAUGUGGCAGCCAUUACCUCCAAUUAACAUCUCUUUUAUCAACUUUGGAACAAGCCAUCCCAAUCUUGAACCAGGUGCCAUUUAUACCUAAGAUGCAAACAUUCAUAGGCCAAAAUAAAUACCAAAACCUACCAAGAAAAAAAGGUUAAUAGGGCACUGCUCCUACGACGUGUACUUUCUACACCACCAUCACCCAUAACAACCCCAUGGACAUGAUGCUUCAGUUCUUUUUUUUCGUCUGCUCAACCAGAUUAAUGCCAGAGUUAUAGAAAAAGAUCUCUUUUAAAUGAAUGUGUUACUUCAUGUGAUCCUAAAACGUAGCUCUGGCUCAUCUAUUGCACUGAAUAUAUAUGGACUUCAAUGAAUGGGGAUAAUUACAAUUUGUGAACUUUGUAUGGAGAUUCAAUUAACACAAUCGGAAAAUGAGCAACUGUAUCAUGGUUAGCAGACACACCAAUGCCAAGGAAUCAUAUCAUGCUAUGCUGCUGAUGCUUAACUGAGGAAUAAUACACGAACAAAAAGACAUCCGGCAGAGAUUCAGGCACAACCAAAACAUUUGAAUAAGGAGAAAAAACUAGAUGGUUCUGGUGAUGGCUCUGGUUCUGGCUUUAUCGGAGGAAGAUGCUUAAAGAAUGCUUUCACUGCUCCAGUUACCCCAUCCUCAUUCUCCAUCGCCUUGGCAAGCUCAACUGCACGCUCCUUUACCUUGGGAUCUAGCAUGAAAUUUAUAGCAUCAACCAACUUAGGGAGUGAGAACUCGUCAACCGGUAUGGGUGGAGGACCUACUCCUCUGGCAUGUACUCGCUCACCCCAGAAUGGUUGGUCACCAAAGAAAGGCACAAUGGUUGUGGGGCAUGCAGCUUUAAGACCAGCAGCUGUUGUUCCAGCACCUCCGUGAUGAACCACUGCCUUGCAUUGUAAGAACAGCCAGUCAUGAGGACAGUUAUCCAGUAAGUAUAUGGAGUCGUUUGGUUCUGCCAAAUUACCCAGGCCACCCCAGCCUUUGUUAAUGAUUCCCCGCUGGCCAGUUUGUUCCAAUGCAUCCACAAUUAUUUGGGUCAUUUUUUCUGGUUCUUGAACAGGGAGGCUCCCAAACCCAAUGUAAAUAGGUUUUGGGCCAGCUUCAAGCCAUUUCACAAGUGACUCAGGAGGUUCAUAAUUUGACGCUAAAUCAAGAAAGCAAAAUCCCACAACAUCAACUUUUGACCCCCAAUCUUGACGAGUUUCAUACUGUCUUAGAAUUUGACAAGUUAGCUCAUUGGCUAUAUCAGACCGCACAUUCACUAGCUCUAAGAAGCUCAUGUGAAGCUUGAUUAAAGCUUGAGCUCAAUAGAUUGCACUGCCUUUGAGCAGCCCUUUUGGUUUUGGAACAAGGUGAGGACUCCAUAUGUAUCCAUGUGGCACAUCAGAAUCAGAGCCUUGUGAACCACUAAGAUAUGUAACAGGUCGUAGCUUCAGCUUUUUUUUCCUAACAUCAUUUAUCAUGUCCCUUAUUCCAAGCCAAAUCAAUGAGUCAACUAUUUGAUAUGAAAGCUACAGAAAUGCAAAUCACUAGAAGUUACUUGGAGAGAACCAAGAAUUUGCAGAGAAAUCAAAGCACAGCAAGGCACCGAAGAGAAGGAUGGGAAAAAUAAUAGACUCACUCGAUAUCCAGCUGACUGCUUUACACGGGACAAAGGAUGUGGAAAUUCACUAGUUGGCCUGAUGGAAAAGACCAAGCAUUGCUUAAAGCAGUUUAGAAUUACUCAGCAUUCUGGAUAAUGAAAAAAAUAAUAGCGAAGGGGCAGAGAUGUAAACAAUGACAAGUUAAAUAUAGAACUAUUCAACUAUAUUCCAUUACCAAUACAAGACUUACGUCCAUGGCAUAGUGAAAAAUAUAUGAAGCGGAAUUUUUAGUGCUUCUGCCACAUGAACGUGCCCAUAUGCAGGAGGAUUGGCUAUUACUGCAUCUGCCCUGAAAGGAACACCAGUAUCAAGAUCAGCGUCCCUACAAGCUGGAAGCAAGGAGUAUAUAAUUUCCUUUAUUUGAUUUCGUUGAAUGGGUAUCUCUGAGGGCCCCGAUGGCAAGAAGCCUUUAUUUUUAACCAUGUAGCCAGCAAGAACCUUUGGAUCUCCACCUAAAGGGUAAAACUCCAACCCAGCAGUCAAGACAAACUCUUUGAAAUUUGAAUGAGUUGCUAGUCUAACACGAUGGCCAUAAUCCUGCAGGCGUUUGCCGAUUGCUAUAAAUGGCUGCACAUCUCCACGGGUUCCAACAAUAAGUAUUACUAUUUGCAUUGGGGGUAUAUAUUUUUCAUCUGUCACAUCAGCAAGCUCAUCAUCAGCAACUGUAUUAUUUACAUCAUCACUUCCAAUACCAAGGGCACGUUGUUCAACAUCUCCUGGAACUUCAAAUUCUACAGUUCCAUCAUCUUUGACAGUGGCUAUUCUCUUCAACAAUUUAAGCCUCUGCUGGACAGAGAUCUUGUCAUCCAAAAUCUGUGCUGCAUCUUCAGCAAGUAUAUUAUGAUAUCUUUGCCUUUCAGUUUUAGAUUUUUCCAGCUUACGCUCACUAGAAGUGGGUUCUAAUUUGUUAGCACCUGGCAUUUCAACCUGUGAAGUCUUUAAUUUAGAUGUACUCCUGCCCGCGAUU